CGAAGGGUGCAAGCGUUACUCGGAAUUACUGGGCGUAAAGCGUGCGUAGGUGGUUGUUUAAGUCCGUUGUGAAAGCCCUGGGCUCAACCUGGGAAUUGCAGUGGAUACUGGGCAACUAGAGUGUGGUAGAGGAUGGCGGAAUUCCCGGUGUAGCAGUGAAAUGCGUAGAGAUCGGGAGGAACAUCUGUGGCGAAGGCGGCCAUCUGGACCAACACUGACACUGAGGCACGAAAGCGUGGGGAGCAAACAGGAUUAGAUACCCUGGUAGUCCACGCCCUAAACGAUGCGAACUGGAUGUUGGGUGCAACUUGGCACGCAGUAUCGAAGCUAACGCGUUAAGUUCGCCGCCUGGGGAGUACGGUCGCAAGACUG
rnacentral:rRNA from 1 species